GACGAACGCUGGCGGCGUGCUUAACACAUGCAAGUCGAACGGAAAGGCCCUGCUUUUGUGGGGUGCUCGAGUGGCGAACGGGUGAGUAACAAGUGAGUAACCUGCCCUUGACUUUGGGAUAACUUCAGGAAACUGGGGCUAAUACCGGAUAGGAGCUCCUGCUGCAUGGUGGGGGGUGGAAAGUUUCGGCGGUUGGGGAUGGACUCGCGGCUUAUCAGCUUGUUGGUGGGGUAGUGGCUUACCAAGGCUUUGACGGGUAGCCGGCCUGCGAGGGUGACCGGCCACAUUGGGACUGAGAUACGGCCCAGACUCCUACGGGAGGCAGCAGUGGGGAAUAUUGCACAAUGGGCGGAAGCCUGAUGCAGCAACGCCGCGUGCGGGAUGACGGCCUUCGGGUUGUAAACCGCUUUCGCCUGUGACGAAGCGUGAGUGACGGUAAUGGGUAAAGAAGCACCGGCUAACUACGUG
rnacentral:rRNA from 1 species